GGGGAAAGUUAAGCAUGUGCUAGUGUCUGAACCCAGUUCAGUUUAUCUCCAGUUGAAACGAUAUACACUAUAUUAUGUAUAAAUGUAUACACACUUCCUAUAUGUAUCCACAUAUAUAUAGUGUAUAUAUUAUACAUGUAUAGGUGUGUAUAUGUGCAUAUAUACACACAUGCACAUAACAAAAUCAGAUGCUCAUUACAAAUCCAGAUGCUCAUUACAAAACCAGAUGCUACACAAACAGCAGCAGAGGAAACAAGGUUGGACUCUUGCAACAGAUCACAAAAAAUAAAAACAGCUACUUGCAGUGACUUUGGUCAUUUCUGUAUGUUCAUAAAGAAUGGAUUGUAACAAGGAAAAAAAGGAACAGUGUUAGUGAAAAAGGAAAAAUGGGCGAAACCAUCUUGAUCCGAUGCGAAUGCAGUAAUGUUCUAUAUACCAUUUCAUCAGUUAUUUCUUUUAGUCAUGUUGAUUUGAUUUCAGUUUCUGGCUAUGAAAAACAUUUUUAAACUCGUCACCCACAACAAACUGAACAAAACUACUACAGUGAAAGCCCUUUUCAGUGAAAGAUGUCAGAAACCUCAAAACCUUUGGCCUGACUCAGAACUACCAUGUGAAAAUCAGUACUCUCUUAAUGUUUGAAAUAAAAACUGAAAAAAAAAACAAAAAAACAAAAAACCUUUUUUGAAGCACCUUAACGUGGCCAUCCAUUUGAGAAGUGGGUGCCACUUUUUUCUUUGAGCACCUUAUUGAUGUGUUUGCUAUCUGCUGUCUUUCUGUUACCUGUUGGCUGAAUGGCUAGCUGUUAACAUAUACAUGUGCACAGAAGAGAUAUCUGGGCAUGUAUGUUCUCAAUGAAGUUUACUGUGGUGACUGCUGAAAGGUGAACCCAUUUCCUGAUUUUCCCGCCGCAGUGUUGUGAUAAGAUUCGAAGAAACCUUUUUCCCUGCACAGAAAUGUUUCUUAUCACAUUGUAUCUUAGUAUGGAAAGGAAUAUGGUCCCUUUUUUGCAAUUGCUACUGUGUACACACACACACACACACACACACACACACACACACACUGUAUGUUUAGACCUAAAAUACACACACCCACGCACACACUGUAUGUUUAUGUGACCUAAAACAUACACACAUGCACACACACAUACAUAUCCAUUCAUUCAUUCAUUCAAGUGGUGUUUCCAGUGUCUGUGUGUCACUGUUUAUGCAGUUUCCAUUUCCCAGUGAAUUAUGAGUGGAGGGCAACUUUUCUAACCAGAUUGUCUUUUCAGAACAAAGACCUGGGAAUUGAGGAAGAGUUUGGAAAGAGGGAGAGGCAAGGAAAGAGAGCUUUAAAUUGAAAGGUUAAUUUCCUAAGAGGAACCUGGGCUGAAUGACUGCAGUGUUAUACCCUCCAAUCUUUGCAGGUGGGCAUGGAACACUGCUUGUAUCACUCUGUGCACGGUAUAAAUCCAUAUAUCCACAAAAACACACAUCCAUCCAUCAACAUAUACAUGGUUUGGGAUGAGCAGGUCAAUAGUUUUGAGAGGGAGUUUGUUCCUUUUUUUUUCUCAUUAUACUCUUAAAUUGUUGUCAGUUAUCAAACAAACAAACAGAAAAAUUGUUUGGAAAAACCUUGCAUACGCCUUUUCUAUCAAGUGCUUUAAAAUAUAGACUAAAUACACACAUCCUGCCAGUUUUUUCUUACAGUGACAGUAUCCUUACCUGCCAUUUAAUAUUAGCCUCGUAUUUUUCUCACGUAUAUUUACCUGUGACUUGUAUUUGUUAUUUAAACAGGAAAAAAAACAUUCAAAAA
rnacentral:lncRNA from 1 species